rnacentral:lncRNA from 1 species
GGAAAGUCCCUAAUUCCCUUCUUAAACAUCGAAGAACAGGCCUCCCGAGUCACCCCAUUCCCUGCCAGAGUGAUGUGCCCUGACAACUCAGGGAGACUAGAGAGAAAGAGGAACUGAGGUUUGGGUCGCCCGGCACAGGGAGUAGUACAUACGCUGUGACUGAGUUUAUUUAAGGGGGUUAGUGUAAGCCCACAGGCUUGUACAAUGUCCGAGUUGUGACACCUGGUUAUCUUUCUAUCUACCUGAAAGCUAUCUUUCAGAGGAAGGCUGUAGAUUUUGGAGUCAGUUGUAUAGGGAAAAAAAAAAAAAAAAAAACCCGGUUAGAUUUGGCCCCAGAGCUUUCCCUUUAUUUCUGCUUCUCACACUGAAGAGGAAAAGUUUUAGUAUGACUAUUUAUUAUGGGGUCAGAGUAGAGAUGGCCUCUGUUCCAGCCUGUAGAGUCAGCCAGAAGCAGUCUGUUGGAAGCCCUGGAACUGGCUGGAGAAGAGAGAAGAGGCUCCUUUGAGAAUAAUAGGUGAGAGAUGUUUUACUGCCCAGGCAUCAAAUAAGUUGUUCCCAAAAAAGCAUUGGCUUGAACCAGGAAAGAAAACAUGGCUUUGUACGGUAGUCACUAAGCAGGAAUUUUUGAGGGUUCUAUGCAUCUGCAUCAGACCAUUCUGGGAGCCAUUUAAAUAGGGCACAGAGUUAACACCUGGCUUAUCCCUUCAGAGGGGAUGUGUGUCACAGAGAAAGUGACAAUCCAGUGUAAGAAAGAGGUGAGAGCUGUUGGGUUUCAUCAGGGGGAAGAAACUGGUUAUAUCUACCUGUUUUCUUCCUGUUGUAUAUAGCUUGGAUGUUGGGGGGAAAAAGCACGUGGAAAACAAAACUACAUUCAGAAACGCUACCCGAAUUGAGUGUGGUUAUGUUGUUACUUAGUCCUGGAAAGCCAGGAAGCAACAAUACAGACCUAACAGGAGCAGCCUAUGUGCGGCUGAAAGGUCUCCCUGUCUAUUCUCCUCAGUCUGACUCUGACAGGCUGCUGAUUCCAGCCCUUCUGCUGUUUAUUAGCAGGAAAACAAGCAACAGCGGACCUCUGGCGGGUGGGCGUGGAGAGUCUUCCUGUUCCUAGCCCUUCUUAGUGGAGAAACCCCCCCGAACUCUGCCGGGAACCCUGUGAUAUCACCAUCCCGGGUCAUGCUUUUGUAGAAUAAAAAGUUAGUUUUCUCCUGUUGUUAACUAAAAUAAAAUUGGAAGCCGAAAUCUUAUUAUUUAUUUAUUUUUUUUUAAUUUUGACUCAAAAAGAGACGCUCUUGUCAUUCCUGCAGCCGCCACAGCCUUUCCGUGUGCUGGAGAAUUCGGGAGGUAGCGAGCUAGUCCUCAGUUCUGGCUCUUCUGUAUGUUACCAAUGCUUCUUAAAGCAGACCACGCCCCUCGGGUCCCUCAUACCUGAAGAGAGGGUUGAGGAGGCCCAGCAUGGUGGUGUGCACCUUUAAUCCCUCACUCAGGAGGGCGGCAGAGACAGAUGGAUAUCUGUGAGUUAGAAGCCAGCUUGGUCCACAAAGCAAGUACCCUGACAGCCAGAGCUACACAGAGAAACGCUGUCUUG